rnacentral:rRNA from 1 species
AACGAACGCUGGCGGCGUGGAUAAGACAUGCAAGUCGAACGGGGAAUCUUUAGGGCUUGCUUUAAAGGUUCCUAGUGGCGAACGGGUGAGUAACACGUGAGUUACCUGCCCCGAAGUGGGAGAUAGCCCGGAGAAAUUCGGAUUAAUACCCCAUGUGAUCGUAAGAUUAAAGGCGGCGCAAGCUGUCGCUUCGGGAUGGGCCCGCGGCCUAUCAGCUUGUUGGUGAGGUAAUGGCUCACCAAGGCGAUGACGGGUAGCUGGUCUGAGAGGAUGAUCAGUCACACUGGAACUGAGACACGGUCCAGACACCUACGGGUGGCAGCAGUCGAGAAUCAUUCGCAAUGGGCGAAAGCCUGACGGUGCGACGCCGCGUGGAGGAUGAAGGCCCUAGGGUCGUAAACUCCUGUCAUCAGGGAGUAAUGGCUCAUAUAGUAACUGUUAUGGGUCUUGAUAGUACCUGAAGAGGAAGGGACGGCAAACUUCGUGCCAGCAGCCGCCGUAAAAC